rnacentral:rRNA from 1 species
GAUGAACGCUGGCGGCGUGCCUAAUACAUGCAAGUCGAGCGAACGGACGAGAAGCUUGCUUCUCUGAUGUUAGCGGCGGACGGAUGAGUAACACGUGGAUAACCUACCUAUAAGACUGGGAUAACUUCGGGAAACCGGAGCUAAUACCGGAUAAUAUUUCGAACCGCAUGGUUCAAAAGUGAAAGACGGUCUUGCUGUCACUUAUAGAUGGAUCCGCGCUGCAUUAGCUAGUUGGUAAGGUAACGGCUUACCAAGGCAACGAUGCAUAGCCGACCUGAGAGGGUGAUCGGCCACACUGGAACUGAGACACGGUCCAGACUCCUACGGGAGGCAGCAGUAGGGAAUCUUCCGCAAUGGGCGAAAGCCUGACGGAGCAACGCCGCGUGAGUGAUGAAGGUCUUCGGAUCGUAAAACUCUGUUAUUAGGGAAGAACAUAUGUGUAAGUAACUGUGCACAUCUUGACGGUACCUAAUCAGAAAGCCACGGCUAACUACGUG